ensembl:snRNA U6 U6 spliceosomal RNA
GUGCCCGCCUCGGCAGCACGUACACUAAAAUUGCAACGACACAGAGAAGAUGAGCAUGGCCCCCGCGCAAGGAUGACUCGCAGAUCUGCGAAAUUCGUGAAGCGUUC